UCCUCCUCCUAUCGUCCUUCCUCACAACCCUAGCUGCCGCCCCCUCCUCCUCCCACCUCAGUCGCCUCCUAGGAGAGCUCGGCACGAUGGGGUGGCCGUGGAGCGCGCCUCGUCCGGAGACAAGGUGGAUCCCAUGCAGGGCAUCCGGCAGCGCUGGCUUCUCCUCUCCUACGCCACCGUUGCCCACCCCUCCUCAUCUCGUGCGGGCACGGAGGUGAGCUUCUCCAGCGGCGGCGGUGACCUGCAGUCAAAGGGCGACGGUGGCGGCGCUCGAUUUGAUCUAUAGGAGAGAGAGAAGAUGAGAGGGAGAGAGAGAAGGAAGGAGAGGAGGGAGAAAUAGAGAGGAAAGAGGAGAGGGAUGUGCGGCGGCGGCCGAGAGAGGGUCACCGGAAGGAACAGCUGAUCAUCGUUCAUACCGCGCUGGGCCAGAGAUGGCUCUGUACAGCCCACGCGUCCGUAGAGUACACAAGUGGUUGCCCAUGAAGUCUCCUCCUUGCCCGGCUUAUUCAUUAAGGUAAGAUUUUGAUUGUCUCAAAUUGUCGCUUCAGUUCCACAUUAACCAUGAAUUGUUGUGUGUAAAUGCUCAUAUCCCGUUAAGUUCAUGUGUAUAAAUCAAGUGGGUUGAAGUGUGCUGUGAAUUUCCUGAAGAAGUUUACUUGAGAUAUUAUAUGCAUGGUGUGGAUUGUUGAGUUUGCUUGCUUAAUGGAAUGCCAUGCCUGUGCAGAUCAACAGGGGGAAGGUCCAGGGUGAGACCUUCAAGAUGGAUUUGAUGUUGCUAUUAUUUCAGUUUGCAGAUAGAGGAUGUUAUUCCAGCAAGACAGUGACGAUGGCGAUGACAAGUGAGAUUUAUGUUAAGGAGUAUUAGCAUAUGCUCACAGGAUCACUGGAAGCAUAUAAAGAUAUCCACAACGAUGGUUGCUUUCUUAUCGAUAAAGAAUUGAAUUAUAAUUAUAGACGGUAAAAAUUGUCUUUUCAUUUGUUAGAAAACAUAGUGUACCUUUAUAAUCAUAGCUGUAUGCAAUGAUCCAUCAUGUAUUUUCUGUUUAAAAGCGCAACCCGUAAUUGCUUGAUGUCAUGAAAUGUCUAUAAUAUUUUUUUUUACAUUCUUAAGUUAGCCUCCAGACUAUCUGCAUUGUCAUGGUAACUUUGGUAGGUUAUAAUAUGCAGAUCGAUAAUCCCUGUUCAGUUUGAGCUUUCCAUGUGAUUUUUUACCCAAAUAUUAGGAUCACAACUUAACUUAAAUUAGCUGUAUAGUGUCAAUGGGCGUCAUCUGAAGCUAAUAAGAUGUUGUUACUGAAGAACAUCCCCCUGCUACUUGCACAGUACGUGAAAAACACCCUAAAUAGAUUAAAGAAAUCAUACUUGACUGUGAUUGCAUUUGGUUGACGCUUACGUGUAUUUCCCAUCGGUAGAUCAAAGGGGUAAUCUACAUUUUAGGUCCAAGCUUUCAAUGCAUUUUUCUAUCUUUUUUUCAUAUCCCAGUCAUCAUCUGCAAGGCCGAAGCAUGCAUGUCUAUAUGGUUUUGUGGCACUGAUUUUGUUCCAUGCCAGUUUAUUUCCAGCAGUUGGUCUGCUUCUUCAUAGAGAUUUUAUCAGUGUACUAAAUUAAAUAAGAAACUGAAUGUGUACUGCUUUCACCUUCCGUUUGAACAUGAUUGUCUUAUUUGUGACAUAGGUGAAAAUUAGCAAGCAAGCUACAGUCGGUGCAUGGAUGACCAAGUUUACUUGUUACUUUAUGAAGAUGAUGAUUCCUAAAUAGAAUUACGAGCUAGGUCCUGCAUGUUGAUCGUGCUUCAAGGUACAGUUGUUCGUGCCUUAUAAAAUUGUAAUGCUUUUUAUUGGUUGUGCAUCCUAGGAACAAAAGCUUGAUUCAUAGAGAGCCGAAGAACUGGGGAAUUUUACUCUCUGUCAUUACAGGGUAGAAGAGAAUGGGGGAGGGGACGUGCGCUCCAUAUUUUGUUAUGCACACCUUCCUAAACUAUACUUUUCUUCUUAACAUAUGUUCAUUGUCUAGCAGAAGCUGUAGAUUUCAGCGUACAAUAAUUUCCAAAAUGGUAGAAGGUAAGAACCAUGUUACAUGAUCCUUUUGUGUUCUCUUGAUUUAAAGUAACACGUACCUGUUAAACUUGGUGAUGAUUUUCGAGGUGUAUUUAUAAGUUAUCUGCCAAGGUUAUUCCUUCAGGCAAUUUUUUUCUCUGAAGCCUAGGCAUAUUCAUUGUUUGGUUGGCUCUCUUUACUAGCAGGAAGAUAACUACUACGUGUUGCUUAGUUAUUAGCGGAUCGACUGUAUGAAUGAUCUUGUGUUCACCCAGAGUUAUAGGUUUCUAAAUACUAGGCUCUUGGGACUUAAUUACAAUGGUUAGUUUUGUUUGGAUUCAUCUACUCUGGUGCUACAGCCUAGGUAAAGCUCCUUCACAAUAGUAUUUAAAGCUUAUAUUGAUAACUCCAUCAGAGUUCAAGCAUUAGGCUCUCUGCUCUGUGUAUUGCCAGGUGUUCUAUAUAAUGCUUUGAUGUUCCUUUGUCACUGUUUGAUGUUCUGCCUUGGGUGGCCUUUGUCUUGGUUUACAACUCCAUAUGGCUACCUAUGUAUACGUAUGUAGGUUUUGUUUGAACUGUAGUCAAAUCGGGCAGAUGUUUCUAUAUUCUUGCCUUCCUCUUUAUAACUCAUGAGAUUGUUUGAUAGUUGAAUAUCAUUGGUCUCUAUCGGCAUUCUAUUUUCGUAGUUUGAAAUGAGUAUUGGUCCAUUGAUAUUAAACUUCACAAUAGGUAGUGGCAUCUUCAGGAAAAAGUAGUGGCAGAUAUGUUGGUGAUUUCUUUUCUGCUGCAGGAAUGACACUAUUCCCAAAUCCUCAACACAUAUUUUUUAGUAACUGAGAGGAUUAUUCACCUUUGCUGCUGUAGGCGUUCAAGACCUGGCAGGGCUGGGUCAACCGGCCCUUCGUGUUCAAGACCCGGCUCUGGUGAGCCUUGACAGCCGUGCUACCGGCUGGGCAUCUUCAUCCUGAGCCAUGUUCGGAACCAGACCAGUAGGGGCACCCUGAGCGAGCACUCGAGGCAUGCUGUCAAGUUGGACGAGUGCAACCAGGCCAGCUGCUGUGUGUGUCCACGGUUCAUACAGUCAAGGCGUUCGCUCAUCUUGGGCCAGAACGAGCACUACAAGGGGAACCGUUUUGUUACAUUGUUGUGUUGUUGGUGAAAGAUAAUGUUUUUCUUCUCGAAUUAUGAAACCUCAAACAACAGUAGGAUAUAACCGUUUUGUUCGUUUUGCAAUCAAAGCUCCUAUCGAAUAACAUUUUAGAAUUGUGCUCCGUCUUAUUCAUAAACUGUGGCUAUUUUGUAGAUUCAUACAAGAUACGGCUUUGUGUGCAUUGAAAUAGCAACAAGUUGGCCUCUUGGUCUU